GCGCUUUCUUCCUCCUUUCUGGUCUUAGACUCUGAACUAAACCUGUUUGUGUCCAAUUUCUUUGAUACUGGGCCACAUUGAAACUGUUUCUCCUUUGUUUUUAAGUCCUGGGGGACCCUGAGAAGUGGCUGGGAAGUGACUGGCAGACACCCUUUGGCUUCCCGGGGCUCCGUGAUGCCCCCACACAAUGGCUGGAAUUAGAUAUCCUGUACAGCCUUCUUUUGACACAACGGAAGGCCUCCUCUCGGCAAGCCGCUUUUCACUCCCAGGCUCCGCGGGAGCCAGGUGCAUAGCUUCAUAAAGCGCCUAUUAUACAGCCAGGCUCAGUCGCCAUGGCUCACACAAUGACCCUUCUGAUCUGGCCACAACAGCGGGGAUAGGUGCCAAGGCUUCAGUCCCCACCCACUGCAGAUUUAGGUAUGCACUUCGUGUAUAUUUGCAGCGCCCCUUUCCUCCCCCAAAGAGGGGGAUUGAAUGCACCCCCAACACACAUACUCCGUUUCAAGACAAACAAGACUAACUGGGGCAAACCACCUGCGCGCGCAGCUCCGGGUCUUUCCGGCCUCCGCCCAGACAUUCCAGGUAACCCGAGGAGGGCUGGGUGGCCACGUGAUCUUGUUGGCAAGGGCGCACCUUGCUCCAGCCGGGACAGCUGAGUACCUGGAGACGAAGGGCUCCAUUCUGAAUCCACUGAGCAUCUCUGAUCACGUGGUGAUUGGUGACAGCAACAGAAAGAAUAGGGGCCUGCUGCCCAUCAGUCUCGGCUCGGCCACAGCCACCCCUGUAAGCCUCAGCUCCCUCAUCUUGAAGGAAACAAACUAAAAAUGUGGCGUUAAAAAUCAGAGCAACUCUUGCAUUUUAUUGUAUUAUUUUGUUUUGGUUUUGGUGCUUGGGGUUGUUGAGACUUUUGUGCAAGACGUAAGAUUGAACUCAAAAGGGGAGGCUGCAUGACAAACCCAUUGCUUGCCUGAGCCACAGGAAAGCUAGUGAGGCUUCCUGCCCGGCUGCAGUAACUGGCCAGUCGUUCUCAGUGAUGGGCCUGCUCCUGGGAAGUACAAAUGAAGGGGAGAAGAAACCUGGAAAUGGAGACUGGCUCCACAUACUGGGUUGCCACAGCUCUUGGAUCAAGGAGACAUUAUUGCAUUAGAAUUCUUGAUGUUUGAGGGCAGAGUUUUAAUUUACCUGAAGCUAUGAAUAACAAAGACUGCCGGUGGCACACACCUUUAAUCCCAGCACUCAGGAGGCAGAGGCAGGCAGAUCUCUGUGAGUUCGAGGCCAGCCUGGUCUACAGAGUGAGUUCCAGGACAGCAAGAGCUACACAGAGUAACCCCAUCUCAAAAAACCAAAAACAGUAAGAAAAAAAUCAACCAAACAAACAAAGAAGACUGAUGAUACAGGAAUCAUCUCCUCAAACAAGACUCUCAGGAAGAGCUACUCAGAGAGCAGUGUUUGAGCUCCAAGCAUGGUUGGGGACCCAGGCGACUCCCAGAUUUUGGCUUUUUUGUUCCAAAGCACCAAGUUCAUCUUCACAGUUACUCAGAGUCCGUGGUGGCUACCAGACUCCAUCCACUGCAAGCACUCCGCUCAGCGGAGGAGGAAGAAGGGACAGGAAGAAGGAUGUGCAGCCCAGCUGGGCCAGUCUUCCCAGCAGUCCCUCAGGAGUUACAUCAAUGGCCAGAACUCGGCAUGAUGCAGAAUCUGUCCUGUGCAGUGCAAUGGGUAGUUGGAAGAGUUCUCUUAAUAAGAACAUGGCUGGAUAUUGAGAGGUAGUGAGGGUCUCCGCAUCAGGGUGGUUGUUAAAAUUCUGCAACGGGUUCAUUUAUUUGGUGGCAAUGAGUGAGACCGUGGGGGCUAGAUGGAGGGAAUGAGGACUGCGUGGAGCAUGGGAAGAGCUUGACAAGGUUCUGCAGUUGAGGUGAGAAGUUGGGAGUAGUGCCAGAGGGAGAAGAUGAUGUCAUUAGCUAACAUUACGCACACGCCUUUAGUCUCAGCACUUGGGGGGAAGCAGAGGCAGGUGGAUCUCUGAGAUGGAAGCCAGCCUGAUCUACAUACAGUGUGAGUUCCUGAACAGCCAAGGCUACACAGAGAAACCCUGUCUCAAAAGCAAACGAACAACCCCCCAAAAGGAAAGAAGGUCAUGGAUUAGGAGUUGGCCAUGCUCACUGUGUUGGGUGGGUCACACUGGGGCUGGUGCUCAGGGAUGUUGGUGUGACCAUUUCCCAGUGAACACUGAACCCACUGUUUAAAAAUGUCCUAAUGUCUGUAGAUGUCUUAAUGUGUCACAUGUAUUUUGGGGUUUCAUAAGUUGCUACUUAGGGUGCUCUUAAUUGUGCCAGAAGAAGGAUUAGGGUGCCUCUUUCAUCUGCAAUGCCCCUGGGCUUAAGGGACCUGAGAGUCAUGGCAAAGUGAUGUUCUUGUGCCCCCCUUCUCCCCUUCCUUUCCCUCCCCAAUCCAAUCCCUGCCUGACUCUCAAUCUAUGUGGUGGUAGGAAGCAUGAGCCCAGUGUCCCAGCUACAAAAUCAGAAUAACACAGAUUUUAAGAUGCUUGCCUGCAUAUUGUAUAUUUUAAUAAAGUUUGAGUAUUUAACAGUUUAAGCCAAAACAAUCCACUGGCACCUCCCUCUACUAAAUCUGCCUUUGUCUUAAAACCCCGGGGGUUUGCCAAUGUUCUCACUUGCCCAGGAGUCAGAUUCUAAUCCAAAUGUGGUGCUAAAUUAAGUGUUAAGUACUAAGUGAGGCUUUGAAGGAGUUGAAUGGACACUAGGCAGGGCUCCAGUCCUAACUGGAAACGUCCACAUCCACAGCAGGUCCAGGGGUACCCCCCCUGUUCCUUUCCCACCCGAGUCUUCCUGCCUUACCCCUGAGUCUUCUGUUCCUAGGCUGCCUCUUGCUGCCUUCCAAGUCCUCAAACUUCACCCUCCCCAUUCUGCUUCUUCCUCUCCCCCUUUAAUCCCAUGUUUUGUGGGUCCCAGCAUCAGAACCACCCACAGUCUGAGCAGGCCUACAGAAUCAGAUUCUGUAGAGGAUGGUGGACAGAUUCAGGGGUCCCUGGCUUUGGAAGCCCUCCCCAGGGGUUCUCCAGCACUUAGUAACCCUGCUCUGUCUCAGAAGUCCACAAGCUUGCCAUGUGGCUCUGUCUUGUCCUGGCAGGUUCUUGAGAUGGUCACAUUCCUGCAGGCUUUUUCUUCAGGCCACUCCUCAGAGACUCCUUGACUCUGACCCCCUCUCUAGCAUCCUACGUGACUGUAUUCCUGUAAGGCUCCAGGUGCUAAGAAGGACCCCUCAUACUAGCUAUCUGUUGUAACCCUCCCUCCCUCCCCCAGAGUUAGGUAUUUUUCUACCUGCUUAUGUGAUGAAUCAGGACACAGCCUAAGAGGAAUAGAUGCAUUGAGCUUUAGUAUGUUGGAGAACAUCACAAUAGAUGCAUAGAGAAUGCAUGGGUGAGAGAAUGGUUUGCUCAGGCACAGUACUUCUGCAGACUCGGUGGGAAACCUGGUCUUGCUGUUUGUCUUACACUACUUACUAGGACCCCUUGGUGGGAAGAGGGAAGAAAUAAAGGGUGAGGUCUGGGUUUGGCUAUCGAAGCAGACAAGCUGUGGGAACCUUUGAAGAGAGUGAUGGGGCCAGCCAGGGGGGUCCUAAAAUGAGACAGACUAGCAGUACUGAGAACAAUUGUGUGGGGCCAGGGAGAAACCUCCCCGAGCAGGGUGCUUGCUGUGCAGACAUGGGAGCCUGAGUCUGAGCCCCAGGACUCCACAGCCCAUGUAAAGAAAGGUUGGUAUAGUGGGGCACUUGUAAUCACAGUGCUGAGGAGCCAGAGGCAGAAGGAUCCACGCGGCUCGCCAGCCUAGUUGAAUUUGUGAACCCUAGCCCAACGAGAGACCAUGUGUCAACAAAGACUGUGUGAAGGGCUCCUGAAGAAUGACACUCAAAGCUGACCUGUGGUCUUCACACUCAUGCACACACAGGCACAGGCAUCCCCCACCUCAUUAACACAGACACAUACAAGUUGUGUGCUCUUCACUGAUGGUUAAUUAUUAUAGAACUGGGUGAGUUGCGGGUCAGAGAGUAGGAGAAAAGGAAGCUGUGGAUUGAGGGAUGGCGUGAACAGUUUUAGUAAACAUCGUGUCCCCAGGGGAAACAUGGAGCUUAAAAAGACACUCUGGAUAUUCUUCUUUAUAAGGUUAUCAGAAGUGAUCCCUUCCCUGGCCACAAUUUGUAUAUGAAGCAAUGCAAACAUAUGGCAUGAAGGUGUUGGGAGACAGCAGUUAAAAUCACGGUAGGUAAACUGAGUGAGGCCACUACUACCAAGGUCUUGCGGGAUUUCCAGUCAGUCUUGGUCUGACAGAAAAGAUUUUGAAAGGCCAGCUCUACCCGCUCCCCCUACCACCAGCAUGUUCUCCCCUCAGGCACAGGUUAAUGACUUGGGGUCCCUGGGGAAGUUGCUUUCUCCCAGGAGCCUGCCCUGCAGCAGCUGGAAGAAUCCUGGUCACUCCAGCUGUCAACUCUUAGUCCUCUCUGUCUGGCUUUGGCCUCUUGGGUUUGUAAUGUCUUGGUUGAUUUGCUUGUCCAAUUUGUGUGUUCUUGGUGAAACAUGUAAUGGUGGAAUCUGAUUGCUUCUUCUGAAGACGCAGGAACAGGUUUGGGUACUGUGUUGCCGAGGCUGCCCAUUCUGUGCUGGUCAUUGUGACUGAUUUACAGUCAUUGUUGUUGAUUUAUUUUAACAGCAUGUGGGGAAUUCUGGUGGGCAGAAAAACUUUGUAUCCCUGUCAGUGGCAGAGUUCACAAGCUCAUCUUCCUGGUUCCUGGGAGUUCUAGGAGUUUGCUUAGCAACUGGCCCGGUCCAUGCCUGUCUUUGCUACUGGUGCCCCCCAACACUGGACACUUAAAAUGGAAUUGUGUUCAGGACCAAAUAAGUAUUUUGUAUAAAUGGUGGGAUGGACCUGAGUCUGCCACCCAGUCCAACAAAAUGAGGGAGAAGAAAGCCAAAAAAAAAAAAAAAAAAAAAAAAGAAAUAGCAGAGGCAGUCGGAAGUGAUGCUGGUUAGGGCUUGUUUUCCUGGCUCCUGUGGCCUCAUUCCAGCCUGUUGCUAUCAGCUCUGGCCUGUCUGUGGGACACCCUUGUGCAGGGACCUCAGAGGAAGGGAACUUCUACAUUUCUGUUUGACCAGGCUCCUUGCCAAAGUCUGAGUUCAAAGUGCAGUUUCCAGUAAUUUGUGGGGACUUCUCUGUGGGUUCUCUGGACCAGAACAGAAGCCUGUAAGUCCAAGUACUAUUUCCUAAUUGCUGUCCUUCCUUGUGAAGAGAAGGAAGGUAGUUAAGGAGCUGGUAGCUAGGGUUUUUUCCUUGUCCGUGACUGGGCCUCUCCAUCCCUGGUCAUCCCCAGCCCUUCCUCUUCCAUCCCAUGUAGCCAUGGGGAGUCUGGUCCAGAAUGAAGCUGGAUUUUACAUCACUGCCUUACAGUUCCCCCUUCUUAGAGCUUCAAGGGAAGCCUCUGCUGUCCUUUCUCCUCUGCAACCCUCCUCUCCACACCCUGCACCUUCCUGUCUCUUAGAACAUCACGGUAAUUGGGAGUGGACCUUUGUUAAAUGAAGGUGUGGGUAAUGGUGCUGUCUUAUCUCAGAGAAGUGUUUGGUAGAACAGUGGCCUUUCUAUCAGGUAGAGACACACAGGGACAGUGUUUAAAAGAAUUGUGUUUUCUCUGGCUCUGGAUGAGUCAGUCUUGACAUGGGAAGGACCUGGCUCAAAGAUGUCUUCUGCAAUUGAGCAAGGAGAGUCGUAGGCCGUUGAGAUCUUGAGCCCCGCCACACAGGACAGUGGCCUUUUCAGACAGUUACCCUACCUCACAUCUCCUAAGCCCACAGAAGCGAACCCUGGGAGCACAAGGGAACGUGGAGAUAGUUCCACCCACACUCAAUUCUACAACACACUUCUUUUCACUUGCUAAUCCACACCCUAGACACCCCCAUGGUGGGUUUCCUCCAACCUGGAAACCCAGUUCUAGCAAUUUUCCACUGUAAUCUCCUUCUGUAACAUCUUAAUGUUCUUCUGUAACACUGUAAAGUCCUUCUGCAGCCGCUGGACUAUGGGUAGUGAGAGGAACCCCUAUAGAUGAAUUUGUCUACAUCUGUCUAAGAAAUACAAAGCCAUGUUGGUGAAAAAUAUCAUUUAAAUAUUUUUAUUGGAAAGUCAGUGCGCUCUGAAACUAUCUAAAUAUGUAUCUCCACAAUACCAAAAUAGCUCAUUAAAGCUUUAAAAAUACUUCUCGGUUGUAUGACUUUUAUUAUACAAUAAAUGGCUUGUGUAACUUCACUCUUCUUUACUAAGUUGAUUUUUAAAAACAACUUAGAUGAGCAAGUUGGUUAUUUAUUCUUAAAAUGUGGUAUGAAGGCAUGGAGAGUCUUAAAUAUCUCUGUAGUCUUUAGUCAUAUCUAAAAAAAAACAAACCAAAAAACACCUUUUCACAAAAAAACAAACCAAAACAAAAAAACCAAACCCAAACCCAGUUAGUUGCCUGGCUAAGUCUGUGGCAAACCUUGGCGAUGACAGAGAGGCUUUUAAAACUUCCCCUUGACACUGAACCAAGCAGAUGGCUCGAUGAAGCGCUUGCAGCAUAGGCUUGGGGACCCAAGUCUGGAUUCCCAGCCCCCACAUAAGAAGGGGGGCAGCACACUUACAUAAUUCUGGCUCUGAGGAAGCGGGAGCAGGUAAAUUCGUAUUGCAGGCCAGUCAGCCUAGCUGAUCCAGGUUCAGUGAGUGACUCCGUCAUGAAGAGUAAGAGGACAAGGGGCUGAGGAAGAUACUGUGCUGAUUUCUGGUCUCUAUACAUGCAUUCCCAUGUACCUAGACGAACAUAUGUACACACACACACACACACACACACACACACACACACACACAGCCCUUAAAUGUCAGUCCAAAUGUCAGUCCACAUCACAAUAGAAUGAAACUAAGCAAUUUAGACUCUUGGACAAAGAUUGUCAUCACAAGUCGGAUCUCUUCAAGCAGGGUGUGGCUCCCCAGACACAGCUGGUCAGUUAUUACACACCGCUGUGCAAGAGAACCCAGGCAUCUCAAGAAGGUCCUGAUGUCAAAACGGAACCUGCACGUGUCACUUCUGCGGAUUCCUGUUGCUGCCCACAGUUGGUUAACUGCCCCUCCCCCAUGGAACCUCAGGGGACUGUGUCAUUCUUCACACAUGCUAGUCCAUGGAGCUGUAAAAGUCCAGUCAAGAGAUCAACAUUUGGUUCUUUUGUGAACUCUCCCCAACCUCCUCCAACAGUCACCCAAAUGCAUGAUGGGAAUGGCAUGUGAAGGCUCAGGAAAACUGAAGUUCUGAGGGAGAAGUAUUUUUAUAUUUAUACAAUUUUUUUAAAAGAUUUACAUAUUUAUUAUGUAUAGUGUUCUGUUUGCAUGUAUCCCUGCAGGCCAGAAGAGGGCACCAGAUCUCAUUACAGGUGGUUGUGAGCCAUCAUGUGGUUGCUGGGAAUUGAACUCAGGACCUCUGGAAGAGCAGUCAGUGCUCUUGACUGCUGAGCCAUCUCUCCAGCCCCUAUUUACACAAUCUUUAAUAUUGUAUUUUAAACUUCACUAAUGUAUUAAAAGGACUGCAGAGUCAGUGGGCUUUUAAAAUAAAUGUCCUUUCAAACAUUUCAAGCACAUUGUGGAGGAUGUUUCAUGCUACAGUGAGGUUGGAGAGUCUGGAUGUUAGAGGAACUUCGGGGGUCGUAUGUUCAGCUUUUCUUGUCCUUAUGUUUGGGUAUCUUGGAAAAUAUCUCGAAAACAACCGUGCUGUAGCAGCUGACACUUCCUCCCGGUUUAGGAUAAGGAUCACCAGUCACAGACCUACAGGACUUAGAUGGACACAAACAAUCCACUUUCUGUCUUUGACAAAAUGCAGGAAGCAGCCACAUCGAUCCGGUAAGCCUUGAUUAGAACAACUCGGAAGGGGGACGUGAUGGCAGAGGUGUGUUUAGUGUGUUUGAGGUCCUGGGUUCCAUCCCCAGUGUGCUUGUGUGCACUGUGCACACCCACACCCUCACCAAAUGAAGGCAUUUGGAGUGAUUAUUCACACUGUGGAAGUAUCCCUCCCUGCCUGCGUGGCUGUGUAACCCCGUUCAGGCCACACUUUCACUGUGGGGUGUGAACCCCCUUGGGUUCUUCAGCUGAGGUGGUUCUGCAAAAUCGGUACUGACUCUACACCUCUCUACCUGCUGAGCCAUCUGACUGGUCCCUCCUUUGGUUUUUUGAAAUCUUUAAUACCUGGAUUAUUAACUGUGGGUGGAAAUAGCAAGUUCUUACAGUGUCUGUGUUAGCAUUCCAAGCAUAGCCCCUUUCUUCCAAGAUUGCCAUAUCAAUUAUUAUUAAAAGAACAUUCAACUUUUAAAACUCAAGUGACUUUUCCAAGCCAGGUCUUUAAUCUCAGACGUAAAUCUCGCUCCAGUAAGAAAGAGAACCAGGCAGUGUGUUGGAAGAAUCUAAACUCAAGAGAAACAAAAGAUUCAAAAGAUUAGGCAUGGAAUUAUUUCCGCAGCUUUUGCUAACGAAGCAUGUUAAAUUAAAAACCUGCCUUCCUGCACCCAUCCAGAGUGCAGAUGUGUAAAGUGAGAGGAUGGAUCCAGAUGUGGGUGCUGUCCUUCUCUAACAAUUCUGCAGGCAUGCUGCAGGUAAGGGUGUCUGCAUGCUGGCCUCCUUCUCCGCCUGGCUUCAGGGUCUCAGAACUGCCAAGAGCCAGUGAAAUGAGCUUUCCUUUUUGUCUUUGGUUGUACUGUUGAAAGAACAGAAGAUUCGGUUUAUUCUGGAGCAUAUAUAAAUGACUAAGGUCCGUGAACAAACAUUUUCGUCUCCCCCAAAUACAGCAUUCCAAAAUGGAAGCAGUUUCAUGAGGUUUUAUAGUUUUACAGAAUGGAUUAAGUCCUAAACCAGGUUAAGUUUAAAAUACAUUGGUGGGUGUGUCAGAGAGGCGGUUACAGCAAGAUGAGAGCUUAGCUAUAGGCCCAAGACGCUGUCUGAUGAUGUAUCUUCUUAGUUGCUGGAUUGGUGGGAUCCAGGGGUCUGCUUGGUUAACAGAUCCCCAAACAUUUUUAUCUACUAGUCACAGGAUGUUAGCUCUGAUACAGAGGUAGGGAGGAAUUCAGAUAAGGAAUUAGCCUCCGGGCCUGCAUCAGGUAAGGAAUUAGCCUCCGGGCCUGCAUCAGGUAAGGAAUUAGCCUCCGGACCUGCCUCAGAUAAGGAAUUAGCCUCCGGACCUGCCUCAGAUAAGGAAUUAGCCUCCAGACCUGCCUCAUUCCUGUCUCUCCAUCCUACUGCGGCUCUGGUAAGUCACUCAGUCUCUGCAGACACAGCUUCUUUCCAGGAUUCUUGUUCACAGGUGGCUUGGAGUGAUUCUGUGAUGUAUUAUAAACACACAACAUGCCUUGAGAUCUCCAAAUACUGAGCGUCAUCAAGAAUUUGUGAUAGCCAUACAGGGUUAACACAGAGAAGGAUUCGGUGGACACGUCACACCCUAGAGGCUACAGAUGGGUAUGAGCAUCCCAAGGCUGGGGAGUGUUUCCAAAUUCUACGCCAGGAAUGAUGCAGACCCUUUCUGUGACGGAGACCGACAUUAUCUUUCUGGUUGGAGAAGCAUCUGUUUCUAAUACCUUUACUUUGGAGAAAAAGAAGGAUGAAGUAAUUUGUAAUGGGGCUGGGGAGAUGACUCAGAAGGUAAGAGCACUUGCUGUUCCUGCAGAGGACCAGAGGUCAUCCCAGCAUCUGUAUCCAUGCCCAGUGACUUACAACCACCUGUAACUCUGGCUCCAGAGGAUCUGAUGCCCUCUUCUGGCCAGUGGGGGCACUGCACACACACACACACACACACACACACACACACACACACACACACACACACACACACACGAGUACAUUCUAAGCAGCUCACUCAGGGUGAGUUCCUGCUCACUUGCCAUUUUUCUCCCCUGCCUUAGCUGUACUUGAUGGAUUAUUUAUUAAUUUGGAAAUCAAUGAGUUUGAAAAAACUAACAUAGCCCGUUUAUCACUUUCGACAAAGUAAAACCCCACCCUUCUGCAUUCUGCUUAUGCUUCUGUCAAUAGUGUGAAAACUGUAAAGAACACCCUCCUUGCUGGCACUGGGUUAGGGAAGACUGGAGGUGUGUUUGGACGAGUCUUGCUAGCAUUUCCAUUGAAGGGCAGGUCAUUGCCUUCCAACGCUCAACAGUGUUCCUGGGAGUGAGAUAGAGAUGGUCAGGAGUUUGCCCAAAAUGGAACAUAAAUGACCUCCUUGUGGCUGCAGGGUGGCUGGACUUAACUAACGUCUCACGUAGGGCACAGCCUUAUACCCUUGCCUUUUCUUGUUUAUGAAGUACUUUGAAAACAGUUCUUUAAAAUGAAAAGCUCCUAACUAGUGUAUUUUCCAUUUUUUCCCAUAAAACACAGUUCUCAGUUUGACUUACCAGCUAAAUGCUCCAACUUUCAACUGAUUUCACAGAAACAGGAUUUAAAGCAUGUCCACCCAUUGCCUGUAGGAAGUUGAUUCAUGAGUAAUCUGAACUCAUAGCCUGGUGAGUGGGGUCUUGGGAGUGAGCUCGUGUUUCAUGUGGCAGGAAUAAUUGCUAUUAUGACCAAAGGCAUGGCUGGCACUGUUUUAAAUGUGGUUACAAAUUUAUUGAGGGGCUGGAUCUUUCCUCUUUUCUUGGUCUAGGGUUGUUUCUUACUGCUUUGAAAAGAUAAAUAAUACCAUGUGACUUCCAAGAUGAUGUCUUCCCUACAGACCUGGUAGUCUCUGCUCACUGUAGUACAUGUCUUAGAGUGCUGGGCAGAGGCCAUCUUCCCACACAGAUCUGAAACCAAUGUCCUGGUGGUGAUUCCUGCUGAGUUCAGCCUCCUGGCCAUUCCCACCAAGGUGCAUGACCUGGAAGCAAACUGUUCUGAACCCUUUAUACAAGUUCAGACACCAGUGGACUACUACAAAUCACCUGCAUGAUGCCCAUGGAAUAUGAGAGUCGCCCAGCUGAGCCCUGCCCGUGUGAUGGUAGGAACUGUGAGAUAUGAAACACUGCUGCUCUAAACCAGAAGGUUUGGAAGUAAAUUGGAAAGGGAUGAGCAGAGAGGAAUUUGGUACCAGAACAGAAGACUUGAAGUGUGGGGUAGUUAGGUAUUCACCCAGGCAAAGGAACAACUUGUGAUCUAAAGCAUCUGAAAAUGUGUGUGUGUGUGUGUGUGUGUGUGUGUACACCAUAUGCAUGUGUGGAAGUUACAUACCACAUAAAAGCCAACCUUCAAGUGAGUACACCAAUGAUUUGUCCUUCUGUCUGGCAUAUGACUCAGAACACCAUUGCUGCUCAGCUGAUGAUUGACAGCCAACAGCAUUGUUGAUUGGUUUUGCUUGUUUGUUUGUGGGCAUUUGUUAGGACAGCAGGAUCUCAGGCCCUGUGCUGGGUUCUGAAUUUUAGGACCUACACUUUCGGCAAGAUCCCAAGAGAUGCCAGCGUGUGUUACAGCAGGAGCAGCACCCGACUCAGCGUGGAUGCCUCCAUGCCUGUUACCAAUGGUGGGAACCAGAGACUUACUGUUCAUUGCUACUCCCCCCGGUGGCUACCAGUCUAACAGGAUGGUUCUGCACGGCUGCAUCACACCCUCGUGUAGAUGCAAGACAACUCGAGUCUUCUGCUGCUCCACGUCCAGGUGGAGAAGCCCAGCCUCCAUGGCCCAGAACAUCCCACAGCAAGGAAGGAAGGAAGGAAGGGAGGAAGGAAGGAAGGAAGGAAGGAAGAAGAAGAAGAAGAAGAAGAAGAAGAAGAAGAAGAAGAAGAAGAAGAAGAAGAAGAAGAAGAAGAAGAAGAAGAAGAAAGGUGAUGUGCUGAUGGGCCAGUUUCUGAUGAGCUUGAAAGUGUGGGUCAUACAAAACUCCAUUGAAUUUGUGCCUUCAUAUCCUGUGUCCUAUAACCCAUAACAGAAACAGAAAUUGAUCUUGAACCCUUGACUACAUAUUCAAUAAGUUAUUGGAAGUAAUGAGGAAGAUGUGUACUACCCGACCAUAUGAUUGUGAGUGCAUUAGUCAGCUUCUCGUCACUGUGACAACAUAUUAGAGACAAAGGGAUAGUUAAUUUUGGCUCACAGUGUUGGAAAUUUCAGACCAUGGUCAGUUGGUCCUGUUGCAUCUUGGGCUAGCAGAUCAUGGUGAAGCACAUGGCAGAGCAAAACGCCCACUUGCCUCAAGGUCAGCUCAUGAAGGAGGGAGAAGCAAGGGGCCCAGGAAAGGACCAAGGGACCAGUUGGCCCCCGCCCCCAGUAGCCAGAAGACUCUUUACUAGGUCUUGUGUGAUAGUUUCAAUGAGAAAUGUUCAAAUAGUCUCACAUUUCUGAACACUUGAUCCCUGCUGUUUGGGGAGGUUGGGGAGCCUUUAGGAGGUGGAGUCUUCCUAGAGGAAAUAACUCCCAGGGGGCAGGCUUUGAGGGUUUAUAACCUCAGGCUGCAUCUUGUUCCCUAUCUCUGUUUCCUGUGUGUGUGGAUGAAAAUAUGAUGAUCUACUCACCUUCCUGCUUUUAGGAGCUUUCCUAAGCUUCUCCAGUCUUUGGAUUUAUUCUUCUGAGCAUUUCCUGUUGCCAGAAUGAGCAGUGAAAAUGGUUUGGUUUGGUUUGGUUUGAAAGUAGCUUGCUAUCCUGGGCUGGCCUAGAACUUGUGAACUUCUAGUCUGUAUUGCUUAAAUGUUGAGAUUAUAAGCGUGUAUCAUGAGGCCUGGCUAAAACAUAUUUUUAAGUUGAUUUUUAUCAUUAGAUCUGAACUUUACCAUAAAAAUGGUUAUAACUGAUAUAAAAUGGAUGUUAUUGAUAUGGAAAUAUUAGGGUGUCUUUGAGAGUGGUGGAGCCUUUCUCGGCUCAUAGGUGGACUUGGUUCAGAAGUUAGGGUGCUAGAUGCUAAUGAGCAUACAAAGUCAGUGGCCUUUGGGUUCUUGUCUUGUGACUUUGGAAAUUCACGGACCACAGAGGUGAGUUUUAGAGAGGAACUUAUGGAUUCAUAGGUGGAAGUUUAAGAGGAAGAGAGAGAGGGAGCUAGAGAAUGAGAGAAAGAAGGAGAACAGAGCUUCUAUAUCACAGGAGGAGUCCAAGGAAGUAGGAUACCAUAGAGGUGAGAGUGGGGAUUUUAAUUUUUUAGUAUUAAGUUUUUGAAAUUAUAAUUAUAUACUAUGAUUAUAUAAUUUCUCCUCUUCCCUUUUCCCCUCAAAUCCCUUCCAUGCACUCCCCCCUUCUUGCUUCUCUCAAAUUCAUGGCCCCUUUUGCUUUAAUUGUUGAUAUAUAUAUAUAUAUAUAUAUAUAUAUAUAUAUAUAUAUAUAUAUAUAUAUCCCUACAUGUAUAAAUACAACCUGCACAGUUUCUACAAUGUUGUCUGUAUGUAUAUGACCUCCCUUGGAGGAACCAAUCAUGGGCUCUUCACAGGGACAGACUAUUUUUCCACUCACAGAAUUUCCAUUGCCCGUAGUUCUUUAUUUAGGGCUGAAGAGUCUUGAGCUUUUGCUCUUCCACGUCAGCCUGUCCGUUGCUGUCCAUGUUGUUUGUCUUGCUUAGGCAGCCAUAUUGAUGAGACUUCAUGGUGUAUCUUUUCUGACACUUCUAGGAGAUACAGUAAGCUUCCUGUUACUCUGGCUCUUACAGUCUUUCUGCUGCUUUUUCUACAAUGAACCUGAGCCUUAGGUGCAGGAGUUGUGUUGUGGAUGUGUCAUUUGGGACUGGACACCACACAAUCUCUUGUUCACUGCAUUUUGAUGAGUUGUGGUUUUCUGUAAUGGUCUAUGCACAAAGAGAAGUUUGUUUGAUGAGGGGUUAAAACCACACCUAGCUGUGGGCACAGGGAUAAAUAUUUGAAGUGCAGUUAUGGAUUAUGCUGGUUUAGGAAAGUGGUGGUUGUAGUUUCUGCUAGGUUUCUAGUACCAGGCAUGAUUUCCCUCUUGUUCAGCAGUUCUCAGGUCUAAUUAGAGAGCUGUUGGUUACAGCCAAGGUAUGCCUGCCACUACUGCACCCGUACAGUUAUUGUGUCAAGUUGGUUGGUUGUGAUUCAGAUCGUGUCAUAGCUGGGUGGGACUAUUGUUUGCUUUCCUCCCCUGGAAGCUUGUAUGAUGCCUUCUGGUACCUCGAGAGCUGGUCCUCAGGUCAGAUUAGUCUGAGGUCCUUUUAAAGGACUUCUAGUCGAAACUGGGGUGAGGCAUGGGGAAGGGGAUGAGCUGGUCAAUCCAGGUGGCCCAACUAGAGGCAUUCAGGUGCCUCCCUUCAGUUUUAGCAAGUACUCAUGAUCAGCCUCCAGUCAGGGGCACUCAUUAGGAACUCACAAAGAAGUAGGCAUUCUUGCCAUUCCUGCCUCUAGCAAGGACAUUCUCAGAACUGCUGCUUUGGGGGUCCUUGCCUUGCCUGGCCAGUUUCUAGUUCCUCUUCUCAUCACUCUACUUUUGAGUUGUUAAUAGAGAAAUAUUCAACAAACAGCAGUCAGUCUGUGUGGAGAGUCUCAUCCCAUCCCUUGCCCAUUCUUUUUCUGCCUUUGACUUCCACCUAGUAGUCAACACUGUUUUGUAAUGUUGUUAGUAUUUUAUGUUAUUUUCUUGUUGCUUUUACUGGAAGAAAUUCCCUUUGAGUAUGGCACCUAUAUCUGUGAAAUCCACAAAAUGCAACCCGACAAACAUAAUACAUUCCAAGCCACACAUGCUUAUGGAUAAGUUGAGAGCAAAUAUGCCUGAGAAAUAAUUGCAUUUUAAAAUUAGUUUUUAAUUCAAUGCUUAACGAUUCAUUUUAUGUGUGUGCAUGUGUGCAUGUGUAUGUGCACCUUUGGGGUGGGGAGGAGGGUGCAUGUGUGUAUGGAGGCCAGAGGUCAACCCUGGGUGCUCUUCCUCAGGAGCCACCCACCUGCCUUUUUUGAGACAAGGUCUCCUACUGAACCUAGUUGGACUAGGCUGACUGACCAGCAUGUUCCUCAUGUUUCCACCUCUCUGGUAAUGGGGUUAAAAACCCAUGCCGGCAUCUGUGGCUCUUUACCUGGGUUCUGAGGAUGGGAUUCAGGUCCUCAUACUAAUGUAGCAAACACUUUACCAAGGGAGCCAUCUUACUAGCCCCUGAGAAAGAAAUGUGGUACUUUAUGGCAUAUUUGGGUUCUUUCAUCCAAGCAGGCAUUCAUUCAAUGUCAGAACAUACCUUGGUAGACACAGUGAUAAAAUGUUCUCCUCUGCCUUCAUAGGAAUACACAGAGGAUGCUUGAUCCCAGCUGCAGGUCCUUUUCGGCAAGCUAGGUUUGCAGCCCUGAGCUAAGAAUCCCACACGUGUGUCCAUGCACAAAGAUCAACUGCCUCACCCUCAGUGUACUUUUUCCCUGGGCUGAGUUCAGUGUGAGUCAGGAGGAGGAGUGUACUGACAGCAGCUUACUGCUCAGCUUGGUCUUUGUAGAGACAUACAUCUUUUCCAAUGACUGAUAAUAUCAAAUUUGCUUUCUCAGUAAAGCAGAUGUGAGGAUUUAGAGCUGGUUCUUCAGUGUUGCCCCAAACUGGAAAUAAUCCAAAUAUAAAGGAGCAGAUACAAAGUGCAUGGAGCCCAACUGUGAAGAGUAAAUGCUGUUAUGGAAAGAGCAUGAAGGGGUCUCAAACAUACCGUGUUAAGUGAAAGAAGCUGUCCUCCAAAGGCUGUAUUGCAUCAAUCCAUGAAUGCAGAAAGAGCUGUGGGAACAGAAAACAGUUGUUGCCCAAUGUUGUGGUGAGGGGAGGGGAGGGGUUGACUCCAGGGGAGUGGGUUCAUCACUUUGGAGAUGGGACCAUUCUCUAUCUUGAAUGUGGGGUGAUGUCUUAUAAGAGCCAAAACUAACCUGUAAGCCCCACUUGCCCAAGGACAGAUAACUUCCUGGAAUGUUGGGGGCUGUGGUUCUUGGGAAAUACAAGUCACAUGCUUUUGCUCCCCUAAACAAGUUUGUUUGCACCAGAUAUGCUUGUUCAGAUGUAGGCAGGAGGUACGUAGGCAGGAAAUACAUCAGGAUGUAUGCUUGCCCCUGAUUGGGCCUGAUGGGAAAUACGGUGGCCGUGUGGGUCUGCCUUUUUAAGCCCUUGCAAAAUGUAACUCAUGGCCAUUUCCUGGGAACCCACAAGUGGACCUGGCCAGAGUCCAUCUUCCUGGCCAGAAUUUAAUUAACACUUGCUUCAAAAUUGGCUCAAAGAUUGUGGUAUAAAAAGCUAUGUGCCUGUAUGCGUUCGUCAGAACUCACAGAAGUGUACAUUACAAAAGGAGAAUGUGAUGUGGAAAUUAUACUUUAACAUGAAGAGAUUCUUCAGGUUCACUGUAGACUGGAGAUAACCACUGAGCACUAGGAAUGUGGUGGUCUGUAAGAAAGUCCCUUUAGCCAAAAGAGCAAAUGUGAAGGGAAUCAUCUAAACUUGUAAGUGGGCGAAAGCAGGGCAGACAGCAGGAAGAGUUUGCAGUGAGCUCUAACUAUUUGUAUGACUCCCAUUCUGGGGUGUCAGUGAGAGCCUCACCAUGGAGGAAACCUUUCCCCAGAGAGCUAGAUGUGUGAGGGAGAGGGAGCAGACACUCCUGACUCACAGCCACCAACUUGGCAAAGGAGGCACUCUCCCACAAGCAGGCGAUGGUGGCUUUCAAGGCAGGAACUGGUUAAGAUUUGUUUGUUUGAAGAAGAAUCAUGACAUUCUGGGAAUCAGGCAAGUUGGCCGUUUUCCUGGGCUCCCACCAGCCAUGCAGACCUCCUUGCAGGGGCUGGGCUCUCCACACCACGACCAGGAGGGCACACCCUGCUUUAGCCCCAGGCAGAGAGAUAAUAACAGCAUGCUAGCCUAGUAGUCUGUGUGCUGGAAGGGUUUAUGAGGAGGAAGUCCGCAAUUACAUAUUUCUGGGCAAACAUUAACCAAGAUUGAAACCUAGAUUUGAAGAGAAAUAGCAGGCUGGAAUCUUAAGCUGCCCUUGGUAGCUGUUCUGAGGAUUGUGAACAGUGGUUAGAGGCUCUUCUUGUUCUGAAAGCUAGACGGAAGGGAAGACAGAGGCGACAAGCUGGUGAGAAACUUUUAUCACACCUGUCCCCAGCAUGUGGCUGUAACACACAGCCUCUGUUGAUGAGCAACGAUGGGAAACUAUUGCUACUCCCAUAACCAAGGCGAAGCCACCACACAGGGCCCAUUGUUAUCCUCAUGCUGAUGACCGACUCCAUUCAUCCCUGUGGCUUCCCAGCUGCCACUGUGCACUGAGAGAGGCCUCUUCUUGGCAAUGGCACCGAGAGCAUCUCAAUCACUUCCUACCAUCAUCUGAACAAUUUUGGUUCAACUCUGUGGUUUUGUAAUUUCUAUUUUUAAAACUUCGUAGACAGAACAACUCUGCCCAGUUGGGCUAGGCAAACUUAAAAAGAAGCCAGGGAGCUAGAAUUAGCUCGGCACCAAGAUGGUACAGCUCGUGUUCUUUCUAUUUCAGACCAACCACUGUCAUUAUAUGGAAGGUAUCCUGUGUCUUGUCCUUACCACACACUUUAGGGAGCUGAAGGGCCAGGAGCAGCCAUCAAAUAAAGAACCCAAUGACUUUCCAGACAAAUGCCCCUAACUCCUCUUAGCUUAUGUUAGUUAGUUAGUGCAGGGGACGGUUCUCAGAGCAGACGUUGAUUUGCAGCCCUUACCAGCUGAUCAAGGGUGACAGGACCUUCUCUCAAAGUCAGGCUUGGUGGUUCAGAGUUUAAUUUCUGUCACCACAAAGAAAAUGCAGGCAAAGCUUUCUCUUAGUGCCUUCACCAAGAACUCAUAUGUGGAUGGAUCCAAUGAGGGAGAAAACCUGACUAACCACACAGGGUGAAGGAAGUUUUGAUGAGGACAGAAGGUCAGAGUUCUAAUUUGGUUUCGGUCUGUAGCUGGUUGUGUGGUCUGGGCCCAAUUUCACCACUGAAUCCAGAGGUUUGAACUCAGAUUCUAAAGCUCAAACUUCUGGCAUUUCUCAGCUCUUCUGAAGGAAGAGAGAGAAUCAUUCUCAUUCUCAUUGUACACCAAGUAGAAAGAAAGCCUCACCAGAACUUCAAGGAACCAGUAUUUUGACUUUUUUUCAAUUCCAGAAUAUUGUGAAUGAAACUGCUUUGGGGAUAAGAAGUCUUGUGAGACAAUGUAUAUUAUACACCUUCAAAGUACUUGACUUUGAACUUGUAGGCUAUAGAGUUCUAGAUGCUUUGCCCAAUGAGCUAAAAUUUCAGCUGCCCUCCCCAGGUCCCAGGGACAAAUGGAGGCAAGAUUCUGCCAGAGUUCACUUCAGGGAACCUGUGAGUUUAUUGGACUUUUUCAUAGAAGAUAGUUGAGGGAUUGCUUACAGGAAUGUGGGUGCUCCUCUCCCGAAAGGCUGCAUCUGGAAAGUCUUACUCAGCAGGAAUGAGAGCUUUCCUGUAGCCAUAUAGAUAGAGUCCCCAUUCCAGUCUUCCCUAGCCUAUGUACUCUAGACCUUCCCCCAGGCCAUGUGAAAUUAAGGCAGAGUUGCAUACACCAAGUAGAAGAGAGCACCUGGAUACCCAGGUGAGGUUCUUGUAACCCUUCCCAGUCCUCUAUGAGAGGGUGUAGUCCAUCUGGAACAAUUGUUUUGCAAGGGACACAGCUGAAUUCCGCAAGAUGGAGGCUUUGCCUGUUAACCCCUCAUUAGCUUGAUUGGGAUGGUAAGCAGGGCACAAUCACAAGCUUACUUGAUGUCAGGCUGCAUAGUAGCCUUUGGUGUGCCAUGGGGAAGUUCCAUGGGCUGUGUCAUCUAAAAUGGAACACAAGGCUCUUACAAUCCCUACUGCUGACUUCCAGGUGGGUCAUUAUACUCUUUUUUAUUAUCAUUUCCCCUGGAACAUUCAUUGUUGUGUUCACUAGAAAAGGAAGACCUUGGAGAGAGAGUGGGCAGAGUUACUUUGUCUGGAUGGCCUGUCUAUUGGUAAUAGUGGAGCCUGAGAGGUGGGUUACUGAGAGUGAACUGAGAAUUCCACAUGAGACUGGAAUUCUCUGAAUUUCUCCAGUGUCUGUUGUAAUGUCUCUCUUUUAGUCUCCAAUUUUAUCAGUUUGGAAUUUCCCUCUCUGCAUUUUGAUGAAUUAACUUUGGCUAGAAGCUUGUCAAUCUUGUUGAUUUUCUCAAAGAACCAAUUCUUUGUUUCAUUGAUGUGUGUGUGUGUGUGUGUGUGUGUGUGUGUGUGUGUGUGUGUUAUUUUGUUUCUAUUUCAUUGAGUUUGAUUAUUUCUUCACUUUGGGGGCAUUAUUCUUCUUGUUUUUCUAGAGCUUUUAGGUAUGUGCCUAAGUUACUAAAAUAAGAUAUCUCCAAUCUUUUGAGGUGCACACUUAGUGCUGUGAACUUGUCUCUUCAUGGUGUCCCAUGGUUUUAGAUAUGUUGUGUUUCAUUUUCAUUCAGUUCCAGAAAGGUUUGAAUUUCUGUCUUAACCCAAUUUUCAUGCAGUAGUGAGUUGUUCAGUUUCCUUUCUACUGUUUCUAUUGUUGAUAUCCAGGUUUAAUCCAUGGUGGCCAGAUAGGGGGCAUAGUGUCUUGGUUGUUUAUGUUUGUGUUUGGGGCUGAGGUCUGGGCAUCUGGAGUUACAUUGGAAGUAUUUCUUGGUGUAGAUAUCUGUUCUUGCCUUUAUUGGGCACGUGUUUCCUUCCUUGGUUGCUGUUGCCCACUCUGGGUCCCAGCCAAGUGUGGUGGCUGUGGGAUUCCUGAGUCCCAGACAAAUGUGGUGGUUGUGAGUCUCUAGUAGAGAUCUUAUCUGUGGGUGGCAGAGAGUCACAAAGGGAUGGAAAUUGGCUAUAAGGAAUGGCUAAAAGGGAGAGCAAGGAAGAACUAGGGGACUCUAGAUGCUGGGUUUACACCAAGAGGCUGAGUCCCAACUUCCUUUUCUUCUUUAAUUAUAGUUCUCUCUGUGUCUCUGUCUCUGUCUCUGUCUCUGUCUCUGUCUCUCUCUCUCUCUCUCUCUGUGUGUGUGUGUGUGUGUGUGUGUGUGUGUGUGUGUGUAGGCCAGAGGUCAAUCACUGGUGUCAUUCUCCAGGUGUCUUGUUUUUUGAAACAGGGUCUCUCACUGACUUGUAACUUGCCACGUAGGCCAGACUGUCUGACGAGCAAGCCCCAGGUUCCAGGAAUCAAACUCAGGUCCUCACCAAAUGAGCCAUCUCCCCAGCCCUAAUUAUAGUUUAAAAACAUUGGGCUCAAAGCCAGCAAUGUGUCUUGUGUUAUUUCUAGUUUUUUUUUUUUGGUUUGAUUUAUGGUCAACAUUUUAUAAACACACCAUGAAUUCCUGCCGAGCAGGCAUGACAAGCUCUACUGGUCUCUUCCAUUCAAGUUCAUCAACUCUACAAAACCCAAAUUUCACUCAUCAUUUGUUCACCAGAAUUUUAGCUAAUGCUUGUCCAGUUGAUUUUUACUUUUAAAAGUAUUUAUUUACUUAUUUAUUGUGCUUUGUGUGGAGGGAUAUGCAUAUGUGGGAGGAAGUAUAUGUGCCACAUUGUGUGUCUGGAGGUCAGAGGACAACGUGCAAAGACUUGAUUCUUUUCUUUUACCACAUGGGUCUUGGGGACUGAACUCAGGUCCUUAGUCUUGGUGGCAGGUGCCUUUACCUGCUGAGCUAUCUCUUUAGCCAGAUUGGUUUUUCCACACACUAAUGAUUACAGGUCUUCUGGCCUUCUAAUGUGUAUCUUCAUAUUGUCUGUGCACUGUGGAUUUUAAUGUAACUAUUUUAUGCAUCAAGGCAGGUAUAGUAUCACUAUGACUUUCUUUUUACUCCCUCUGUUUACCCCCUUCCCUUCCUGUACCCCCUCCAUUCUUUCUCUUCCUCCCCCAACUCCCUCCUUCCCUUUUUCCAGUGCUGGUGUUCUGCCCCCGAGCUACACUCCCAGCUUAAGAACUGUAACGAUUCUCACAAAGUUUCCUAUGUAUUUUGUUUAAUAAUUUUGCUUGUUCCACAAUAAACACUGUGACCAACA